rnacentral:rRNA from 1 species
AACGUAGGACGCAAGCGUUAUCCGGAGUUACUGGGCGUAAAGCGCGGGCAGGCGGCUCGCAACGUCUGAUGUGAAAUCUCCUCGCUCAACGGGGAGAGGCCUUGGAAACGGUCGAGCUGGAGGGCAGUAGAGGUAGGCGGAAUUCCGGGUGGAGGUGGUGAAAUGCGUAGAGAUCCGGAGGAACACCAGGAGGCGAAGGGCGGCCUACUGG